rnacentral:snRNA from 1 species
GGAUGUGAGGGCAAUCUGGCUAUAACACCUGUCACCCUAUUGCUCACCACGGUUGAUUCAGCUGAUCUCUGGCUGGCCAGGAAGGUAUUUUCUUCCUCCCUCAGGGUUCCAUGUACAUCCCUCCUGAGCAAAGCUGCAUGCUUAGUCAAAGAGGACGACUACCCUGGAUUGAGGAGGACUAUUUCCUUGGUCAAGCAAGGGUCUACAAGUAGCUGCACUCUCUUGCUAGAACCUCCAAACAUGCUCUUAGAAUAAAGAUUGUAUAAAAAUACUUUUCAUGCAUUAUUUUAAUUCAAAUUAUCUCCUCUGUGGCCAGAGGAUUCUUU